UGGCAACCGAACACCGUCCCUCAGUCCAGCGUGGCUCUCUCAGUGCCUGCCAUGCUUCAGCGCUUCAUGCAAUGAUUCCUGCACCCGGAAGAUGACACGAGCCCGCAGGAGCCGCGUCGCACCGCCGCUUUAAGAGGCCGCGGAGGGCGAGCAGAACCACAGCAAACAGGUGUAAAGGAAGGACCGGUUCCCCGACCCGUUCAUCCAGUCAUGCUCUGGGAUUUCAGCAGAAACGUCAGCACUCACUGGCGGAAGGAGAAGUUUUAAUAGCGGAAGAAGAUCUACCAGGGGAAGAUAUAUCAGGCUGAUGAAUUUCCUGCAGGUGAGCGGAGUCGUCUGAGCUGGACUGAGAACAGCAUCACACAGGUACGCAUGACCUCUUCAUCUGUUAGCUCUGUCAAGGUUGCAAAUGUACAGAAAUGAGUGAGUCUGCCCUAAACUCUCUUUCCUCUCUCUCUCUCUCUCUGUCCUGCCAUCAAUCACAACAAAUGCGGAUGGAUUAUGACCAUAUUCUCUUCUGGACAUCUGUCCGUCCUCCGGUGAGUGGCAAGUUUUGUUCAAGUCAAGAGUUUAGACACGAUGAAUUCAUCAUGAAACCUUCUGAUCUGCAUGCUCGACAUGAGUUCUGUAGACAAAUUAAUUGUGAUUUCACAUUCAAAUGCAUCAUGAAGUGCAUCAAUUCUGUGGAUCUGUACAUCAUUACUGUAAAUAUCAGAAUGUAAGGUGGUUUUCUGCUCAUGGAAUGUUCAAGCGUCUGAAGUAUUGUGUAAAGUAUCAGUAUUGUGACAUUUCUGAGUGAAAUGGAAUAUUGAAUUGAAGGCGGGGCUUCAUUUUUGGAUUAACAUGCACAGAUUAAUUGUUCACCAAGUGAUGUGGGUCAAUUUUGAUUUAGAGUGCAUUUUAAAGGGUUAGUUCACCCAAAAAUUAAAA